GCCGCGGUUUUGUCACUGUCUGUCCAUCUCCCGGCUGUCUCCUGCACUCAAAGGGUGAAGCGUCAGGCCGGCGCAGGCCUGUUCCCGAGCUACACCAGCGUGCCAGAGACGUCGUUCUCCUGUGAUCAGUACGGGCCGGGUUACUACGCCGAUCCGGAGACGGGCUGUCAGGCAUUUCACGUGUGCCAUACCAACGCGGUGGACUCGUUCCUGUGUCCCGCGGGGUCUAUUUUCAACCAGAAGGUGUUCGUGUGCGACUGGUGGUACAACGUCGAGUGCGGCACCUCGCCGCA